CCUUUGUGACUGCNAUGGCUAGAGUACGGUANNGAGNGGGGAUGGAAUUCCGCGUGUAGCAGUGAAAUGCGUAGAUAUGCGGAGGAACACCGAUGGCGAAGGCAAUCCCCUGGACCUGUACUGACGCUCAUGCACGAAAGCGUGGGGAGCAAACAGG
rnacentral:rRNA from 1 species